GGUUAAAACGUUAUAUAAUGAUACUAAAGGAUGCCUGUCUAAUAACGGCUGGAUCUCAGAAACCUAUAGUCUUCACCGUGGUAUAAAACAAGGAUGUCCGUUAAGUUCUCUUAUUUUUGUUAAUAGCAGUUGAAAUCCUGGCCUGUAGAGUAAGACAAGAUUCAAACAUUAAAGGGUUUCAAAUUAAACUUGAUGAAAAAACGCAUAGUUUUAAAAAUUUCCCAAUUGGCUGAUGACACAACACUCUUUCUCAGUUCAAAAAAUGAAAUACACCAAGCAUUAAACCUAAUAGAAAUAUUUGGAACACUUUCU
rnacentral:lncRNA from 1 species